AAACAACGGAGUCAGCAAAUGGUCUUUUUCCUUCCCCAGCUUCCUCCCUCCCUGUUUUUUCUCUGUCUUCUUUUCUCUCCUUUCUUUUCUUCCCCCCUUCCCUCACCUUCUCCCUCUCUCUUUCCUUUCUUUUUCCUUUUCUUCUAGGAGGUCAGGGUAAACAUUCAUAACACACCUAUGAGGUCAACCGUAGCGUUCAUUUGGACACUGGCUUUAGGGUGUCAAACCCUUUUUUCUGUGGCUUUUUCAGUUUAAUUUAAGUUUAAGAAUUGUCUCCUGCUAAAGGGAUGUUAAUGCAAUUUCCUAUAUACAUUUUCUAAAGCAAGUUAGAUCUAGGAAAGAUAGUCUGUUUGACAGAAUUAUUUUUAGGUUUUUUUUUUUUUCCUACUUGAAUCUUUUUUUUUCUUUUUUUAAGUAAUGACCCUAGAGACAGACAUAGUCAAAAUGAAAACAUAAAUUCCAAUUUUGUGUCAAUUAUUUUCAAACUAUGUUCCCUCUGGUUUAAAUAAUCUGAUAAGUUGUAAAACAGUUUUCAUAAGUAGGACAGCACCAGUCAUUAUUUUUUCACUGACUGCUCCUGGUCCUAUUGUUUAGGAAGCAAGUCAUUGAUAUAAAAGGCCACUUCUAUGACUUAUUUUUCUGUUUGGUUGGGCUGCCAUGGAAACCGGAAGCAUGUAUUCAAGCCUUUGUUAACAGGAAAGACAUUUUUCAUGCAGUCUUCCUAUUUCAGGCACCGAUAAUACGCUGUCAUGUGUACAGUAACAUUCAAGAUGGAACUGGAGGAGCAGGGAACAUAGAGUGAUGGGGAAGAAAAGAGGGAAUCCCGAGCAGAGAAAACUGGGAAAAGAACUAGAGGGAAUGUAAAUGGAAAGGCUAGAGCUACAGAGGCAUCUCGAUCUAUGAGAAAAAGGCCACGAGAAUCAUAGGGGCCUCACUCAGCCUUGUUAUCCCUGAGCUCCUGAAUCAGUGCCAGAAACCACCUGUGGAGUCCUAAUAAGAUAACUCCUUUUAGAAGAAAAUUCAAGAUCUGGCAACACUGUGCCCAAGCUUCUCUAAGGAAGAGAUUGUCAAAGUGUGGUGCCUGGACCAGCAGCAUUAGCAUCACCUGGGACCAGUUAGAAAUGAAGAUGCUCAGGCUCCAUCCCAGACCUGCUGGGGCUGGGGCCCAACAAUCUGUGUUUUAACAGGCUCCCUGUGUGACUGUGAUACGUGAUGCUCCAAGGUAAUUGGCCACUGAAGAAAGUAAAGACUGUUCUACACCUAAGAAGCAAGGACUCAAUUACAGCAUGUGUUACUGCAUUAUAUCAUUUAAAAUAUUCAAAAUUAAUGGAAGGAAUAAACACAGGCUAAAGGAUGAUUUAAAAAAAGAGUUAAAUGCUGGUUUGAAUCCUUACUUUUUAAUACCACUUUUUAAAAAGGUUAU
rnacentral:lncRNA from 1 species